rnacentral:siRNA from 1 species
GGCAGUUGUGCACAUUGC